AUGAACGCUGGCGGCGUGCCUAACACAUGCAAGUCGAGCGGCAGCGAGGGGUGCUUGCACCCUGUCGGCGAGCGGCGGACGGCUGAGUAACGCGUGGGAACGUGCCCCAAAGUGAGGAAUAACUGCCCGAAAGGGUAGCUAAUACCGCAUAUUAUCUUCGGAUCAAAGGAUUUAUCCGCUUUGGGAGCGGCUCGCGUCGGCUUAGGUAGUUGGUGAGGUAAUGGCUCACCAAGCCGACGAUCCGUAGCUGGUCUGAGAGGAUGACCAGCCAGACUGGAACUGAGACACGGUCCAGACUCCUACGGGAGGCAGCAGUGAGGAAUCUUCCACAAUGGGCGAAAGCCUGAUGGAGCAACGCCGCGUGCAGGACGAAGGCCUUCGGGUUGUAAACUGCUUUUAUAAGUGAGGAAUAUGACGGUAACUUAUGAAUAAGGAUCGGCUAACUACGUG
rnacentral:rRNA from 1 species